UACGGAGGGUGCAAGCGUUAUCCGGAUUCACUGGGUUUAAAGGGUGCGUAGGAGGGUGUGUAAGUCAGUGGUGAAAUCUUCGAGCUUAACUCGGAAACUGCCGUUGAUACUACAUGUCUUGAAUACCGUGGAGGUGAGCGGAAUAUGCCAUGUAGCGGUGAAAUGCUUAGAUAUGACAUAGAACACCAAUUGCGAAGGCAGCUCACUACACGAAUAUUGACUCUGAGGCACGAAAGCGUGGGGAUCAAACAGG
rnacentral:rRNA from 1 species